GCCCACCCUAACCUAACCCCAAAAUCCCAAAGACCCAGAGCCCUGCCAGCCUGCUUGAGCCACCACACCUCGCCCUCUGCGGCCUGCACAGUGCACACCCACUCACCUAGACCCAGCCACAGAGCCAGCCUGAGCCACCCACCUCCUUGAGACUCGACACCUUACUUCCUCCAAAUCCCACUGCCGAACAUAGCAGAUCCCCCACCGCCGGUGCACCACGAAGAUGAAAAUCCCUCAACACAGCACCUCGCCUGGCUCGCCAGUCGCCACCACCCAGUUACCCACUGUCCCAAAAGCCACAGAGUAGCAGUGUAGCACAGCAGACAGCACCGGCGGGCGACGAUCGACACAGGACCACCACACCUCGCCACCUCCGACUUCGCCGCCUCCACCUAGUAGCGUUUCUGGGUUCUGUAGGGUCACCCACGAUCAAGACAGCCAGUCACCGAUUUGAGUGCAUAUGGAGCCCGAGCCAUCUAUUCAGUUUGACGUCAGUUCAAGUGAGAAUAUGGGCGACACUGGAUUGCCUCCAGUUCCUAUUCCGAAUGAAUCAACAAGCAUCAGAUCUCCGACUGCAUUGCCUCCUGUGCCAAUUUAUUUUUAUUUUUAGAAGACACCAUACCAUAACUUUGCUAUCAGUUUAAUGACAAUUUAUUUUUAUUUUCAGUUGUGUUGACUGUUGAACUAUUAAACUUCUUUAAUUGUCGUAUUUGAAUUCUGUUGUCGUUAUAUUUCAUUAGAUCAAGACUUUGUUA